AUGCACGCUGGCGGCGUGCCUCAUACAUGCAAGUCGAGCGAACAGACGAGGAGCUUGCUCCUUUGACGUUAGCGGCGGACGGGUGAGUAACACGUGGAUAACCUACCUAUAAGACUGGGAUAACUUCGGGAAACCGGAGCUAAUACCGGAUAACAUGUUGAACCGCAUGGUUCAACAGUGAAAGACGGUCUUGCUGUCACUUAUAGAUGGAUCCGCGCCGCAUUAGCUAGUUGGUAAGGUAACGGCUUACCAAGGCAACGAUGCGUAGCCGACCUGAGAGGGUGAUCGGCCACACUGGAACUGAGACACGGUCCAGACUCCUACGGGAGGCAGCAGUAGGGAAUCUUCCGCAAUGGGCGAAAGCCUGACGGAGCAACGCCGCGUGAGUGAAGAAGGUCUUCGGAUCGUAAAACUCUGUUAUUAGGGAAGAACAAAUGUGUAAGUAACUAUGCACGUCUUGACGGUACCUAAUCAGAAAGCCACGGCUAACUACGUG
rnacentral:rRNA from 1 species